UACGGGGGGGGCAAGCGUUGUUCGGAAUCACUGGGCGUAAAGCGCACGUAGGCGGAUCUUUAAGUCAGGGGUGAAAUCCCAAGGCUCAACCUUGGAACUGCCUUUGAUACUGGGGAUCUCGAGUCCGGAAGAGGUGAGUGGAACUGCGAGUGUAGAGGUGAAAUUCGUAGAUAUUCGCAAGAACACCAGUGGCGAAGGCGGCUCACUGGUCCGGUACUGACGCUGAGGUGCGAAAGCGUGGGGAGCAAACAGG
rnacentral:rRNA from 1 species